rnacentral:ncRNA from 1 species
ACCUCAGCGCAGUUUUGACUGGCUUGCAAGCGCUAUAUAAAUGUUGCUAAAAAAGAUUCC